ensembl:lncRNA
CUGGGCACCAGCAUGUCUGGAGCAGGAAACAUGACUCAUCGCGGGUCCCGUGUGGCUUCAGGUACCCGAGUUGCGGAACUGGGGACUUUGUGACCGCAGAUACUGGUCAACAGGAACUGUGAGUGAAGUCAGUGAGCAGAUGAUUCGUGCGAAUUUGCAGCGAACACGCAUGCGCUUCUCAUGAGUCCCAAGGAAGGAGCUCAGCAGAGAAGUCACUCGGAGCGCCUGACCCGUCUCGGCUGAGCCCAAACUUCCUACGUCAGUCUGUGGCCAGUAGCUUCUUGCUUGAACCUUCUGCUCGCUGCUGUGGACGCCAGUACGAUCCUCAUGAAGCCGCUGAUCCUGUGGGCUCUUGCCCUGCUGCACACAGGUUCGGGCCUCCUUGUGCCCGGAGGCGACGUGGCGUCGCACCCACAGCUCAUGCACUGCUCAUUCCAAGCGCAGCUAGAGGGCCUGCGCCGCAUCUGGUGCAAGAAGAGCAGCGAGCUGUGCUGCUCAGGCGUGGCCUUUAGCAGCGACACGCAGCAGCUGGAAGAGGGCGCCGUGAGCGUGCAGCAGGACCGCAGCACCUUCAACCUCACCAUCUGGCGCCUGGACCAAGGAGAAGGCACCUACUGGUGCGGCCUGCUGAACCUCAACAACACGGUCAUCAAGCUGGCCGAGAGCUACCUACGCUCGCCAGGUGAGCUGGAAGCGGAACUGUUACGAGGACGGCAGGGGCACGACGCUGCUCGUGCCGAUGACGAUGUCGAUGACAUUCGUCUUCACUGCCUGUCUCUUUCAGUACCCCCACAAGACCCAGGCAACCUGUGGAGCCUCCUUCGCUGGGUCCUGAUGCCACUGCUCCCCCUGGUGGCCGCCACCAUCCACUUGUGCUCCAGUCGCUGCGGUGCGUGUGCAGGUGCUCUCCUCUUCAUUCCUCUGAAAUACUGUCGUUCUCAUCUUGGAAGUCCUCCUCUGAAAUCUUUUAAUGCCUCUUCUGUCUUGCACAUCACAUUUUAGUGUCUCUAUUUUAAAAAAUGUACCCUUUUAUUUCCCUUAAAUCUCCAGGAAAACCCCAUGUGAACCAGGCAAGUUUAUACUUUUGUGUUUUAUUAAACUGUUACUUUGUAAAUACUGUUACCCCUUGAUUGUCAGGAACAUAAGAAAUGACUGUAUUUUAUUGACUGAAUGCAUUUAUUUUAUUUAGUCAUGAUGCCCUCAUAAAGAGCUUGUCCUUGCACAACAUCCCAAAUAUGCAUAUACUAAAUGAAACAAGUAAAGCACUAUAACACUUUUUAUUGCACAUCACAUUUCAUUAGCAGAAGGCUUAUUGGAAGAUAUCUAUAUAGAUAUAAAGAGAAAUUACAUUUGAAACAAAAGCAUGUGGCAGCAAGUUACCUAGCGGUUGGAGCCUUUGCCUUGUAACUGGAAGGUCCUCUUCCUGCGGUCGUGGCCUGAACUGAUAGCGUCAGAAUUACCCCGCUGUAACUGGGUAAAUCAGUGUGAGGAGCAAAGAGUGCAAACCGAGAAAUGGAGAAAAUAAGAGUGCGAAGAAAGAGCAAAAAUAAUGAAUAAUUAGACACAGUGACUCAAUGAUAUGAGGAUGUUUUGCAGAGAGGCGAGGAAAGCGUGUACGAGGUGGCUCAGUGUGGACAGCAGUGACACACUUGGACCGCUCUGCACACUGGAACAUAAACGACCUUCUUUUGUGAAAUAUCUUCUGGAAAACUGAACCCAGAUGGCAAAAGUCUUUGUUCGUGUAGAGUUUUACAACCAGCGAUAAGUAAAAUAUUAAAAAUGAGUGUCAUCAUUUUGUUUGUCCCCUCUAUUCCUCCUUUUCCCACAACACAGCAGUGUAAAGUACCUGCUCAGUGGUUUUACACUUUUACACAUAUUUUACAUAAGACCUUCUCCCUUUGAUUUGAUUAAGAUCCAUUUAAUAAAGGAGACAUUGGGGUGUUUUCA